GACGAACGCUGGCGGCGUGCUUAACACAUGCAAGUCGAACGGAAAGGCCCUGCUCUUGUGGGGUGCUCGAGUGGCGAACGGGUGAGUAACACGUGAGUAACCUGCCCUUGACUUUGGGAUAACUUCAGGAAACUGGGGCUAAUAUCGGAUAGGAGCUCCUGCUGCAUGGUGGGGGUUGGAAAGUUUCGGCGGUUGGGGAUGGACUCGCGGCUUAUCAGCUUGUUGGUGGGGUAGUGGCUUACCAAGGCUUUGACGGGUAGCCGGCCUGAGAGGGUGACCGGCCACAUUGGGACUGAGAGACGGCCCAGACGCCUACGGGAGGCAGCAGUGGGGAAUAUUGCACAAUGGGCGGAAGCCUGAUGCAGCAACGCCGCGUGCGGGAUGACGGCCUUCGGGUUGUAAACCGCUUUCGCCUGUGACGAAGCGGGAGUGACGGUAAUGGGUAAAAAAGCACCGGCUAACUACGUG
rnacentral:rRNA from 1 species